CGCGUUUGUGUUGCGUGCCUAUCUGGUAAGAACGCGUUCGAGGUAUAGUGAAAGUUCGGUGUGAGCUGCAAUUUAGUUCUUUCUUUUCAUGCUUGGAAGGGAACUAACUGUUGUUGUGUAUCUGACAGCAACGAUUGUGCGUGUUUGAGGAUAUAAUGUGAAUUUCUUGUACUCACUUGGCAACAGUUGCAAUUUCAGUUGUAGGUCACUAGUGGAUUACCGUUCGAAUAUUACGUGGAUUGUAUUUCUAGUUACAAGUGCGCGUGAGUGUUGCAUGCGAUGUAUGGCUGAGGCGGCAUCAACGGAAGUGGAGUCAGGAUUAUGGAUGCUGGGAUCAAACCCUGCUGCAGGGACGACGGAGAAGUUAUCGGUAAGAAAUUUGUUUUUCG